GAGGAAGAAGAGGGAAGAGAGAGCAUGCCCUUGGUGAGCAGAGACUAGGAGAAGACAGCAGAGGGACUGGCAUGAAGAGAUGUUGUAUUUCAGUUGUCUUGGAACUACGUUUUUUUUGGCAAAAGUGACGCUUAAAAUUGAAUGCCACAGGUCCAUUAACGAUGCGUCUUAUGCAAUUGCGUGUGUCAGGCUGGUGAAAUGUGGCUGACAUUGGAAGUCUUGAUGACGUAACCAAGAUGAGGUCAGUAAAAAUGCAUGCCGUUUAUAUGUCACCAGAGGCCUCCUGCACAAGCGCAAACAGGAGAAGAUGCUGAUCAGCGGAAGAGAACUAUUUCACUAAAGUAUUCCCCCACCACCUUUAAAAACUCCAGUUGACUUCUGACAAAAAAAAAAUAUUGCAACCAACUGUUUGCCUUGAAGCCAGCACACCAAGCCAGGCCAAAAUCCGUGCAGUGGACUCACGGUUCAGGUUCAAGACCUUGCCUGCCACACCUCCCUCUCCCAGUGCGAGCCAAAGCUACGUGUUGGAAUCACAGAAAGGCAGCAAAGUUCAUAUAUGAUGGAAAAGGGUCAAAAGAUUUCACAAAUCUUUGGAUUUCAGUGUUCAAGCUUGUCUUCUACAAAAAAAAAAAUUCAUUCUGGGGGCAAGCCCAGAAGCUUAUAGGAAUGCAUGGCUUCUGAACAAGGAUGCUGAACAGCACAAACUACCUUAUGGUAUUUCUUUUCCUUCUCCUGCUGUGUGGAUGGACAUCAUCUGGAGGACACUGAGGCAGUAGAGGAUAACAUACCAGUCACACAACAGGAAAAGAGGAACAAAAUAAGACGAAAUGAGUGAGGAGAUUAAAAUGCAGAAUAAUGGACAUUUGGCUGGGAUAAGGAAGGACAUUCCCCCUAUCUCCUGUGUGCCUGCAAGCAGUUGUCCAUGGCUGUCCAUUCCUUGGGGUACCUGCAGUCAGGACCACAUUAGGAACGACAUGCUGAGCUCACACAAGAACAACGCCUGCAUUUACUGGAAACGUUGCAGUAAGGUGCUGGCAAUAAAAGACUGCUUCAAAGAGGAAAAUAUUCUCAAGAUCUUGGCCUGCAGUGCUCUGAAGAUGUGAUUAACUUGCCAGAGGUAUAGACAGCUCUAAACUCAUUCGGAGCAAGAGUCUUGGGACUAGCUGGUGUAUUUUGGAUGUUUGCCAACAUGGGAAUGAAACAGAAGCAUCUGGAUAUUCUGCAUUCACACUGCAGUGGCAAUGGACUGUCAUUUCCAAAAGCUGGACAUGCCUUUCAUCCUGACUUCAGAUGUGCUUCCUGAAGUGGUCACUUUAUCUCUUUCUCCUCAUUUGCUCUUGCCACCCAGAGCUAUACUCACAAAAAGAGGGAAAGAAGUCUGAGAAGCUGAUUGCAGAGAGGAGCUCUAAAUACACUUAUACAAAUACAAAAUGACUACCCAUUAAAAAAAUAUAAAGCUUAAAAUUUUGCAACACCUAAUUACAAUGCCAAGAAGAAAAGCUCUAAUAAAUCCUAACUGGCAAAAAUACAAAAAUAAAUCCAGAUGAAUCUUCUUUCAAAAGAACCCAAGAAACAAAAAAAACAAAAACCCAAAGAGCCCAUGAACUGGAAAACUUAUCUGUAAAGGGUGAAGGAUGCUUGUUAUAUUCUGUUAUGAAUUUGUCUCAAGUUUCUGAUGAAAGUAUCUUGAACAAGAAUAACAUUUGAUAAACCAUUACCUUAUUUAAAUUCUUAAUAUUUGUGGGAGUUUUCCAUAUUACAGACCAUGUGUAUGAUUUUCAGGAAAGGCAACAGGCUAUUAUGUGUCCAGUUCUGUACUGAAAACUAAACUCCCCAAAAUUUCUUUAACUCCUUUAACCACUGAAGUACAUUGUUAUAACCCAGCUGGUAAUACCAGCUUGAUGCAUCUCAUUAGAGAAGCUUGGUUUUCAGCUGCCAAUAAUUUUUCUAAUCUUUAAUGAUUUGGUGUUUAAUAUUCCCUGUUAUGUGCCUGCUUCAAAUGCAUUUUUUCCCUAAGCAGAUUUGGUCAGCUGGUUUCAUGAAUUAAGUCAGGAAGAAAAAAACCAAAAAAAAUAGACAGAGGUGGUUUGGUUUGAUUUGGUUUUGCUGAAAAAAGAUGGAGAAGUUGUUUCUUGAAAUUUCUAUUGUUUCAUGGUUUGGAGUACUGUUUUGAAUUUUAGAGGCACUUAAGACUGGUUUCAUGGACAGUCUUUGGCUGUACCCACAAAAACAGCCUACAUUUGUCCUUCAAUGAAUUUGUUUAUGUGUCUUCAUCCAGGGCAUCUUAGAUUUUUUCCUUGUAAAUCCUCUGAGAAUUUUGUUUUUACCAAUGAUGCUGUCCCCCAGCCUGACUUGAAAAGAUGCUGCUGGUGAAAAUGUUGGGACUUUGAUCCUCCACUAAGGAGAUGUGAGUGGGUCUAACAGAGUGAGGAACUGAGACUAAACAGGCAUGAGAAAAGGUCUCUAUCGAGAAAAAGAGACAAGGGUUUCCUCUUCAGAAAAGUGCACUUACUGGAUUAGGUUCCCUGCCAGAUCCCAAAGCCGAACCCGGAUUUCCUGAGUCUGCUGUCAGCAAAUCUCUGUGAAACCCUCUGAAAAAAUGCCCGGUUCUCCUUCAGAGCUGUUCACAGAGUGGACAACAACCUGUUACUACUAUCAGUUUCUCCUUUAAGCCUCGUGGCAGAGGCAGAUCUCAAGUUUCCAGCCCCCCAAUGAUUUGUGUGGGUGUCAGCACUGCUCUACACCACAGAAAGUCUAUCCUUUUCCCCCAUUUGAUGAUAUAAAAGUUGGAAAAUGACUUUCUUAGGAAAUAUGUGAAAAGACUAAAGAUGUAAUUUCAAGGCAAAUAUUAAAAACUCAGAUUUAAGGUUG